CAGCAUGAUUCUGACAAGACUCAUAAAGAUAAAGAAGAGCAUUUCUGCAAUUACUGAAGAAGGGCACAUUCUCCUCAUGAGGGGAAACAAUACAUAUAUGAGAAGAAUAAAGAUACAAAACUGAGCUCUCAACGUCUAUAUCAUCUAUACGGCUCAGAGUCCCAGGAGGCUCCAGUUGGAAGAGAAGCAGUUCACCCCACUCCACUCUCGAUUACACCUCUCCAUUAGAGACAUCAUUCUUCAGACUCUGUGCAGAAAGAACAGGAAAUGCUCUGUUAAAUCCCACAUGAAGUGUGUAACUCUUAAUGUGGUGAGACUUUUUAAUUCUGAUUUGAUAUAAUGUUUGAGGAAAGAAUGCAUAGGAUGUAUUAUCCCUUUUUUUUUUUUUUAUUUUGAAACUUUUUUCUCUUG